rnacentral:rRNA from 1 species
GCUUACGGCCAUAUCAGCCUGGGUACGCCCGAUCUCGUCUGAUCUCAGAAGCUAAGCAGGGUCGGGCCUGGUUAGUACUUGUAUGGGAGACCGCCUGGGUAUACCAGGUGCUGUAAGCA